GGGGCUGAUCGGUUUCGACAGUCGCUGCUGAUCUGUGAGAAGCGGGCCGAGGACGCAGGGUUGUCUCGUAAACGCCCCCUGCAAAACAAAUAAGUGCCAACUCUAAGCGCACUGACUUCGCCCUCGCUGCAUAAGCGAGCCCGAUAGUCCGUCAGACCGUGGGUGAUCCCGACACGGAUUCUGGCGUCAUUGAGGGAUCUUGCUGUAACGCGGCGUCGUGACGCGUUAUGGGACUUUUCCGCGACUGGGCUCGUCGAUCUAUGUGUCUGUGCUAAAGAUCGGAGCCGAGCAGAACGUCUCCACAGACUGCGCCCGGAGAAACCCCAGUGACCCAGUACUGGACGGGGGUUCGAUUCCCCCCAGCUCCACC
rnacentral:tmRNA from 1 species